CAGUCUUGUGGGUUUUUUUAAAAUGGAUUGAAUCGGAUCUAAGUACGUCAAGUUGGAUUGGUUCAUGAGUUGACCGGAUCCAUUUGCGGCCUUAUAUAUGAUCCAGUGGAGCGAUAGAAAAGUCGGGCAAUAUACCCGCUUUUAGUAUUGGUAACCCUUAACGUUGGCGUAGAUCCAGUGAUAUCGUCUGGCAGCUCCUUUUCGGUCACGCGUGCUUUGCUUGGAGAAUCUUCCACGCAGCAACAAGUUCAAUUGAAAGAUACCGACGUAGGAAUAAGACGCAUGCAAACGGUGAUCGAUAUCUAUCUUAUUGUCUUUUUGAGAUCUGCACCAGCAUGCUUGCUUUGGCCUCCCCUCGGUCGGUGCAAAAGUGUCCCAUUGAAGUUCACCUUGAUGACCCCAGCAGCGGGCCCUUGCCAAUAUGUUGAAGUUAAGGAUGGUAAUUAGGGUGGAUCGGAUGCAGGUCAGUUGAAAAAUUGAACGACCUCAACCUGAUCUAUUAAGCAAACAGAUUAUUUGAGAUCUAAAGCAGAUCUGUUUGUUUGGCCUACAUAAUUCAUUUGUUGGAUGGGAUGAAUUUGGCUAAAUGGGUUAGAUAAGUUCCACGGGUUUUUAACUGAUAGUGUUUUGUAAAGUUGAAUAGAUUUAAAUAGGUUAAAAUGGCUAUAUGUUAUGGGUUAAAUAGGAUAG
rnacentral:lncRNA from 1 species